AGAGUUUGAUCCUGGCUCAGGACGAACGCUGGCGGCGUGCUUAACACAUGCAAGUCGAGCGGUAAGGCCUUUCGGGGUACACGAGCGGCGAACGGGUGAGUAACACGUGGGUGAUCUGCCCUGCACUCUGGGAUAAGCUUGGGAAACUGGGUCUAAUACCGGAUAUGACCACAGUGCGCAUGUGUUGUGGUGGAAAGAUUUAUCGGUGCAGGAUGGGCCCGCGGCCUAUCAGCUUGUUGGUGGGGUAAUGGCCUACCAAGGCGACGACGGGUAGCCGACCUGAGAGGGUGACCGGCCACACUGGGACUGAGACACGGCCCAGACCCCUACGGGAGGCAGCAGUGGGGAAUAUUGCACAAUGGGCGGAAGCCUGAUGCAGCGACGCCGCGUGAGGGAUGAAGGCCUUCGGGUUGUAAACCUCUUUCAGCAGGGACGAAGCGUGAGUGACGGUACCUGCAGAAGAAGCACCGGCUAACUACGUGCCAGCAGCCGCGGUAAUACGUAGGGUGCGAGCGUUGUCCGGAAUUACUGGGCGUAAAGAGUUCGUAGGCGGUUUGUCGCGUCGUUUGUGAAAACCCGGGGCUCAACUUCGGGCUUGCAGGCGAUACGGGCAGACUUGAGUGUUUCAGGGGAGACUGGAAUUCCUGGUGUAGCGGUGAAAUGCGCAGAUAUCAGGAGGAACACCGGUGGCGAAGGCGGGUCUCUGGGAAACAACUGACGCUGAGGAACGAAAGCGUGGGUAGCAAACAGGAUUAGAUACCCUGGUAGUCCACGCCGUAAACGGUGGGCGCUAGGUGUGGGUUCCUUCCACGGGAUCUGUGCCGUAGCUAACGCAUUAAGCGCCCCGCCUGGGGAGUACGGCCGCAAGGCUAAAACUCAAAGGAAUUGACGGGGGCCCGCACAAGCGGCGGAGCAUGUGGAUUAAUUCGAUGCAACGCGAAGAACCUUACCUGGGUUUGACAUACACCGGAAAACCGUAGAGAUACGGUCCCCCUUGUGGUCGGUGUACAGGUGGUGCAUGGCUGUCGUCAGCUCGUGUCGUGAGAUGUUGGGUUAAGUCCCGCAACGAGCGCAACCCUUGUCUUAUGUUGCCAGCGCGUUAUGGCGGGGACUCGUAAGAGACUGCCGGGGUCAACUCGGAGGAAGGUGGGGACGACGUCAAGUCAUCAUGCCCCUUAUGUCCAGGGCUUCACACAUGCUACAAUGGCCAGUACAGAGGGCUGCGAGACCGUGAGGUGGAGCGAAUCCCUUAAAGCUGGUCUCAGUUCGGAUCGGGGUCUGCAACUCGACCCCGUGAAGUCGGAGUCGCUAGUAAUCGCAGAUCAGCAACGCUGCGGUGAAUACGUUCCCGGGCCUUGUACACACCGCCCGUCACGUCAUGAAAGUCGGUAACACCCGAAGCCGGUGGCCUAACCCCUCGUGGGAGGGAGCCGUCGAAGGUGGGAUCGGCGAUUGGGACGAAGUCGUAACAAGGUAACC
rnacentral:rRNA from 1 species